UACGGGGGCAAGCGUUGUUCGGAAUUACUGGCGUAAAGGCUCGUAGGCGGCCAACUAAGUCGGAUGUGAAUCCCAGGCUUAACCUGGAACUGCAUCCGAUACUGGAUGGCUUGAAUCCGGGAGAGGAUGCGGAAUUCCAGGUGUAGCGGUGAAUGCGUAGAUAUCUGGAGAACACCGGUGGCGAAGGCGGCAUCCUGGACGGCAUUGACGCUGAGAGCGAAGCCAGGAGCAAACG
rnacentral:rRNA from 1 species